GCAGAAAACUACAAAAUACAACAGGAAGUGAACCACACCGUGACACUUCUAGACAACUGCGAUGAACAGGUAAUCAACAAGUAGUUUGGGGAUGUGGUAUAGCAGGGUUCUAAAUUACAUUUGAGCUCGGACCAAAAUCGUGGGGACCGACUACAGACAUUUGCACGACUAUGAAGUCUGAAACAAGACAUCGAUUAUAAAAUGGACUGAAUGUGCUGUUAUAGAGACACUAAUAAUUAUCGUGGGUAGGUUUGGAUAUUUGCUGACAAAUAUGAUGUGGUUGUAUCUUUUCUUUUCUUUUUUAAGAAGUACCAAAAUACAAAUUGGUCUGUCACCAUUUGGUGUUCUACCCCUUUACUACUGUGGUCAGCACACAUUUUUUAUUUUAUGUCCGAUUGUUACUUUUCAGACAACUGAUGUGCUUACCCACAGAAAGUCUACAGUCUACGAGGUGUACACUUCUUUGUGAGGAGCCUGAAGAACUGUCUGAAUUCAGACCCGGAGGAGACUUGUGUCCAGGGAGUCCAACUUGGAAUAGUCACAGUGGUUGAAGGUGACGUUGGAACGGUCCGAUCAAGUCCAACAACAACAAGCAUCGCCCUGGUUAUUGAGCAAUGGAUUGUCCUGCAUGAUGCAUGCGACCUCUCAGCAGCAUUCUCUCAUCUGUGCUCUGUGUGUUUUUACUAAAUGCCACUGAUGUGUUGACCACAUCUGGUGAAAAGCAUUUCUAAAGACCAGUGUACAGUUGUCUUGUUACAGACUAUACGAUAGGUGCUUUUGUUUCUGUUCAUUCAUAAUAAAGGCAAAAAAGCCUCAUACUGUU